GGAGGGCGGGGCUGCAAGUUCCCGGGGUAAGUUGUUCCGACAGUUAUAACUUUGCAAAGAAAAGAGAUAGCAAUACAUGUGAAGUGCGUCGCUUAAGCAUUAGGUGACGCGCAGCGCUGGCGGCCAUGUUAGUUGCUCCGGCGGCGGCGGACGAGUGGCUGCGUGCACGGUGCUAUUAAAACACCACGAUGGUACGUACCUACAGGCGCAAAACUGAACGCGGUAAAACUCCCUGUAACCAUGAACACUUCAACAUUGGGUCGGAAUGGUGAACAACCUCAGCAACCGGCAAAAGAUCAGUUAUGUUUGUUUUUUCAAGUUCUGUCAUGGAAGUGCCAUAUAUUUAAGUUAUAAAAAAGUGUUUACCUGGAUAAUUAUUGUAUCCCUAAUUAAUAUUAAGUAUGCAGGUAGUUACAUUUAUAAGCUAAAGGAUCUCAAUUUUAGUUAAACAGUACAUAAUGUUCGUAUAAUUGUGUAAUUUGUGUAACUAGUAGUUUUGUUGUUAUUUUCUUAAUAUUUUAUAACGGUGCCUUAACAUAAAUAAAUGUAACGAUUA
rnacentral:lncRNA from 1 species